UACGUAGGGUGCGAGCGUUAAUCGGAAUUACUGGGCGUAAAGCGUGCGCAGGCGGUUCGUUAUGUCCGUUGUGAAAGCCCCGGGCUCAACCUGGGAAUGGCAAUGGAAAAUGGCGGGCUAGAGUGUGGCAGAGGGGGGUGGAAUUCCGCGUGUAGCAGUGAAAUGCGUAGAGAUGCGGAGGAACACCGAUGGCGAAGGCAGCCCCCUGGGCUAACACUGACGCUGAGGCACGAAAGCGUGGGGAGCAAACAGG
rnacentral:rRNA from 1 species